GAUGAACGCUGGCGGCGUGCCUAAUACAUGCAAGUCGAGCGAACGGACGAGAAGCUUGCUUCUCUGAUGUUAGCGGCGGACGGGUGAGUAACACGUGGAUAACCUACCUAUAAGACUGGGAUAACUUCGGGAAACCGGAGCUAAUACCGGAUGAUAUUUUGAACCGCAUGGUUCAAAAGUGAAAGACGGUCUUGCUGUCACUUAUAGAUGGAUCCGCGCUGCAUUAGCUAGUUGGUAAGGUAACGGCUUACCAAGGCAACGAUGCAUAGCCGACCUAAGAGGGUGAUCGGCCACACUGGAACUGAGACACGGUCCAGACUCCUACGGGAGGCAGCAGUAGGGAAUCUUCCGCAAUGAGCGAAAGCCUGACGGAGCAACGCCGCGUGAGUGAUGAAGGUCUUCGGAUCGUAAAACUCUGUUAUUAGGGAAGAACAUAUGUGUAAGUAACUGUGCACAUCUUGACGGUACCUAAUCAGAGAGCCACGGCUAACUACGUG
rnacentral:rRNA from 1 species